AGCGAACGCUGGCGGCAGGCCUAACACAUGCAAGUCGAACGAACUCUUCGGAGUUAGUGGCGGACGGGUGAGUAACACGUGGGAACGUGCCUUUUGGUUCGGAAUAACUCAGGGAAACUUGUGCUAAUACCGAAUGUGCCCUUCGGGGGAAAGAUUUAUCGCCAUUAGAGCGGCCCGCGUCUGAUUAGCUAGUUGGUGAGGUAACGGCUCACCAAGGCGACGAUCAGUAGCUGGUCUGAGAGGAUGACCAGCCACACUGGGACUGAGACACGGCCCAGACUCCUACGGGGGGCGGCAGGGGGGAAUCUUGGGCAAUGGGCGAAAGCCUGACGCAGCCAGGCCGGGUGAAUGAUGAAGGUCUUAGGAUUGUAAAAUUUUUUCCCCGGGGACGAUAAUGACGGUACCCGGAGAAGAAGCCCCGGCUAACUUCGU
rnacentral:rRNA from 1 species